rnacentral:rRNA from 1 species
GACGAACGCUGGCGGCGUGCUUAACACAUGCAAGUCGAACGGAAAGGCCCUGCUUUUGUGGGGUGCUCGAGUGGCGAACGGGUGAGUAACACGUGAGUAACCUGCCCUUGACUUUGGGAUAACUUCAGGAAACUGGGGCUAAUACCGGAUAGGAGCUCCUGCUGCAUGGUGGGGGUUGGAAGUUUCGGCGGUUGGGGAUGGACUCGCGGCUUAUCAGCUUGUUGGUGGGGUAGUGGCUUACCAAGGCUUUGACGGGUAGCCGGCCUGAGAGGGUGACCGGCCACAUUGGGACUGAGAUACGGCCCAGACUCCUACGGGAGGCAGCAGUGGGGAAUAUUGCACAAUGAGCGGAAGCCUGAUGCAGCAACGCCGCGUGCGGGAUGACGGCCUUCGGGUUGUAAACCGCUUUCGCCUGUGACGAAGCGUGAGUGACGGUAAUGGGUAAAGAAGCACCGGCUAACUACGUG